GUGUGUGGAGGGGCAAAAAGGGUUGGGGGUUGCUGGCGUAGGUGGACUGGCUUAUCGAACUGAGCGUAUGCGUGUGUAUAAAAAGUUGGUUGUUGCUCGCGCAGGUGUAAGCGCAUCAGUAGUAGUCGUCAUCACCGUACUAGGUAGCAUGGGAAGAGAGCUAAUCUAACUACUACUACAAGUAUGGAUGUGAAACAAUUUACCACCAUCUAUUUGGUAAGGCAUUUCGCUACAUACAUGCAUCAUCCCGCCCGCUCUAGGCCCACCGAAGUGCUUUAAACAAUAGGACAAACUGUCUGUCUGUCUGUCGGCUUAUCCCGUCAUCGUUGUCUUGGUCAUUGUCCCCCAAAAACAGGAAGCAUCAAAUGUGUCCCUUGUCCUCCGUACGCACGACCGGCACGCAGAGACCGAGAAACGAAACCGAAAACCGUUUGAUGUUAAUGAAAACGGAAUGAAAUUAAUUUGCCCCAACAAGACGAUAUACCCGGUACGCAACACUUCAAAGAGCGCAGCAGCACCCGGAUGAGACCAGAUUCCUUUGAUAUUUUCACUUCAAAGAUGAACGCGCUCGGCCAAGUAUCAGGAUCGCACGAAGCUCGGGAGGAUGCACCGGCAUUUUAGUAGCAACAAACGAACCGGAACUCGAGUGAAGCCGGGGAAGAGCACAAGACUUUGACCGCUGCUGAGGAAUGGCUGUGUGCUUUGUUUGAAGUGCUCUCCAGAGAUCCACCCUCACUCAAUGACUGAAUGGGGACAUGGCUGUUACUACAGAAAGGGCGAGUGAAAUAUAGAUAAAAAGCGAAAGUUUCAUAGAAGAGAAAGAAAAAAAACACAACAAGCAGUGUACAACAGUAACAACACUUAAACUUUUCAUCUGAUCCCCUGGCGCAUAGCGAAAUGUUGGAAAAGUCUUUUGUCCCAAAGAAACAAUAAUGGCGAAUGUUUGCCGGUUCGCCAGAAGAGGACAUCUUCCGGUUUUUUUCUGUAGAUGUUAUUAUUCUAAGCACACACACAGCGGGUUAGUUGAGCAGCACCAUCCGCAGCUUUGUGACUGGGUCAAUAGCACGAGUCAAUGUUGCAACCAAACCACCUCCAUCGUAUUCGCGCUGGACGUGGCCAAUGGUGAUAAAUGCAAAUGACCCAGCUGUUGCAACUGCUGUUGCUGUUGGUACAGAACAUGUGGCGCCUUCUGGACUUUUGAGUUUUUGUUUCCAAUACACACAGUUAUGCCCGCGAUUGAUGAUGCACUGUAGCGCGCGUGGGGGUCGUGGAUAAUGAUUGCGGUCUGUCUGUAUAAAAUGCAACUGCUAAACACCCUCUGCGUAACACGAUAAUGAAGUUUUACGGGUUCUCCUGUGGUUCGUCAGAGGAACUGUCCUUUCCGUGAACAAGAUUUAUGAAAAAGUGAACUGCACAAGUGAAGCACUCGUCGUUUUAAGAUCAAUAGAAAAUCAUCAAACAUUCUCGACAUUAUGCGAUUCCAGAACAGGUCAAUUCUCGGUCUUAGGUUAAGAUGGAAUUAAUGAACUUUUUUAUUAGAUUUCGGCUACAUGAUACAUGCGCGUCAUUAAAUUUGUGAGAAACAGGAAAAUAAAUUAAAAUUUUCUGU